rnacentral:lncRNA from 1 species
GAAUAAAAUUGCUUCUAAAAUUUUACUCUUAUCGUUCAAACAAAAAAUCAUAAUUUCUUCCUUUAACUUUAUCAUUCAUGAACUAGGCAUUUUCCUUGUUUUUUAUUUUUAUCAAAGUUUUAAAUAUUUAGUAUACUUGCAUGCCUGACAUCUAUGGUAAUACACCAUUUACCAUAUUUUCAAUAAUUACUUUACAAAAUGUCGAAAUGACAAAUGCUUAUUUUUUGUUAUAAGAGUUGGUUCAUAUUUGUAUUUUAUGACAUCGUUUGGCUGUGUUAAAAGUGACUUUAAGUGAUAACUUCUGUUACAGACUAGCCUGUGUAUUAAAUAUUUAUUUUAAAUGAAUAAUUGUAAAACGAAACCUAAAACCCAGAAGAAAUGGCGUGUUAUACACUCAAGGAACUUAGUUUUGUAGUGUUAUUAACACUCUUUGUUUAAUAUUUAAGUGUUAUUUUAUAUUUAAAAAAAAAUUGUAAUAUGAUAUAUUAAAAUUAAAAACCUCAAAACAAAUAAUUUUAAGUUUAGAAUAUAAUUCAUUAUUUCAAAAGAAUAUAAUUUUCACUAUUUAUUCACUUUUUUAAACAAUUUCUUCACUGAAAUCACUUUUUACAGCCUUAUAAUUGAGUGGCAGCCCUGUAAUGGAUAGAUAAAAAAAAAAAAAAUUACAUAAUAUAUAGUGUAUGAGGGUAAUUGUUCUGUAUUUUUUUUGGGUAAUAAAAGUUUACUAAGUAUUCUGGUCGCAAUUAAUUUUGUAUUUUUAAAUUUAAUCUCGCAAAAGUCUUGUUCCGUUUGUAAUAACGUUUUAUUUUUUUUCUAACUAGUUUUGACUAAAUAGUCAAAAUGUUUAGUUUGUGAAAAUCAGAAACUUUGAACCUAUCUUAAAUAGAUAGGUUCCAAAAAUCUGAACUUAAGUCGAUCAUCAUCGAAUUUCGUUAAAUUUUGUAUUUCCAUUGUCAAAUGUCAAAGUUAAAAACCAACACAAUUGUCUAUGACUGGUUAAACUAAACUUUGAAUUGUUUACAGUUUAUAAUAUGACCAAGACCAAUAUUUUGAUCAUCAAUAGAGAAUUGACAUACCAUAAUCAAUGAUAGUCUAUAAUAAUGGUCAAAUAUAAAAAAAUCCCAUGUACUAAAAUGGCCAGGGGAAAUUAUGGUUAAAUAUAAAAAUGACCAGAUAAAAAAUUUGAAUUCAAAUAUUUGUCUAAAAUAUCGGUUCUAUUGGACCGUAUUUUCAUCUGGUCAUAUUUGUAUUUCAAUAAUAUGUACUUCUUUCUAUAUUUUGUAAAUUUUUGUAGAGUGCUUGGAUAGAGAAAGUGAUAAGAGAUUAGGCUGUUAUUUGUUGACUAAACGGACAUUUCAGUGUAUACUAGUUACUAAGGUAUUACAUGUUCAUUUUAUAUUUUAGUUUUAAAUUGUUUGUGUUUCUUCUCAAAUAUUAAUUUUUGAAACUUUAUGAUAUAGUCUUCAUUUAUAACAUGUUUAAGGUAUUCGUUGUUAUAUUCUAGAAAGUAUAGAAUAUUUAUUUUAAUAAGAACAGAGUUUCAAAUUAUCAAACAAUAUAAUUUCUUGUUAAAUUGUA